GCCAAGCUCCGAAAGCUACCUAAAUAUUCCUUCCAGUUAGGUUUCCUCCAUGCUGCUGCUGCCCGCUGUGUUAUCCUCUCUGUCUCUCUCUACUCUCAAAACUCUCUCUCUAUCUAUAGAAUCCUUGAUCAUAUUCUAGGGUUUCAGAAGACGCCCUCUGUUCUUCUUCUGCUUCAGAGAUGGCGUCUUCGUCAGCCAAUUUGUGGGUGUUACUGGGUUUGGGAUUGGCUGGAAUACUCCUGAUGACCAGAAAGCUGAAGAAAGUGGUCAAAGAGGACUUUGGCGCUUUUAUAGAGAGGUUUGAGCUUUUACCACCGCCUCAACCCGCUCCUCCCAAAGCUCCUCAUCCUCUCACCGGUCUAUCCUUCGCUGUCUCCGAUGUAUUUGAUAUUGAUGGAUUUGUAACCGGAUUUGGCAAUCCAGACUGGGCAAAGACACAUGAAUCUGCUUCUCGGACAUCUGCUGUUGUUUCAGCUCUUAUUGAAGGAGGUGCUACAUGCAUUGGCAAAACAGUUGUUGAUGAAAUGGCAUACAGUAUUAGUGGAGAAAAUAAGCAUUAUGACACACCCACCAAUCCUGCUGCUCCUGCACGAGUGCCAGGAGGAUCCUCUAGUGGAGCUGCUGUAGCUGUUGCUGCAAACCUUGUUGACUUCUCCCUCGGUAUUGAUACUGUUGGUGGUGUGAGAGUACCUGCUGGAUAUUGUGGAAUAAUAGGGUUUCGACCCUCAUACGGAGCUGUUUCUCACAUGGGGAUUGUUCCCGUUUCAACAAGUCUUGACACUGUUGGAUGGUUUGCAAAGGAUCCUAAUAUACUACGUCGUGUUGGGCAUGUGCUGCUGCAAGUUCCAUUUGCAGUUCAACGCAAUCCUAGGAAUAUAAUAAUAGCCGAUGACUGUUUUCAAUUGCUAAAGAUUCCUGUUGAUCGGGUCGCUCAGGUGGUCAUCAAAUCUACAGAAAAGCAAUUUGGAAGACAAGUUUUGAAGCAUGAGAACCUUGGAGCCUAUCUUGAUUCUAAAGUUCCAAGCUUGAAAACUUUUCAUAGCAAGAAAUCUAAUGGUGAAGUAAAAUCUUCUUCAUUGAGAUUGCUCGCAAAUGUUAUGCAGUUAAUGAAAAGGCAUGAGUUCAAACAUAAUCAUGAGGAAUGGAUCAACUCAGUGAAGCCUACUCUGGAUCCUGUUAUCUCAGCACAAAUACGUGAAACGCUGGAGAUUGUUGAUGCGGAGAUUGAGAAUUUCCAUGCAAUUAGGAAUGAGAUGCGUUCAGCUCUGAACUCUCUUCUGAAGGAUGACGGAAUUUUAGCAAUCCCUACAAUUGCCGAUCCUCCUCCAAAACUUGGUGGGAAGGAGAUCUCCUCAGAGGACUAUCUGAUCCGUGCAUCUAGUCUGUUGAGUUUAGCUAGCAUAUCAGGUUGCUGUCAGGUCACUGUACCGCUGGGAUCACAUGAUAGGUGCCCUGUUUCCUUGUCCCUCAUUGCAAGGCAUGGGGGUGACAGGUUUUUAUUAGAUACUUUGCAGACCAUGUAUGCAAAUCUACAGGAGCAGGCUGAUAUAGCGGCAAAGUCCAAAUUAUCUAGUAAAAGUUUCAGCCAAGAAACAUCUGCAGAGACUGCUAAAGAAAAGGGUAACCAAGCAUACAAAGAUAAACAGUGGCAGAAGGCCAUCAGCUUCUAUACAGAAGCUAUUAAACUCAGGGGCAACAAUGCAACAUACUAUAGUAACAGGGCUGCGGCAUAUCUAGAAUUGGGAAGCUUCCACCAAGCUGAAGCAGAUUGUACUAAAGCCAUCGAUCUUGAUAAGAAGAAUGUCAAGGCAUAUUUAAGAAGAGGCACUGCUCGAGAGAUGCUUGGCUAUUACAGAGAGGCAAUUGAAGAUUUCAGAUACGCACUUGUUCUCGAGCCAACAAACAAAAGAGCAUCUCUUUCUGCCGACAGGUUAAGAAAGCUGUUUCAAUAGGCGAUUGAAGUGUAAGCACGCUUCAGCAUGGCUGGACCACAGAAACAUUUCUUUCUUUCAAGCCGUUCUUAGUUUCUCUACAUGGGAAGGGCCCAUUUUGAAAUUUUAAAGCAUGCCCUAUGCCUCCAAAGUCUCAAAGACAACAAUGCCUUCCUUUUGUCAGAGGGCAUCCUGAGGUGGAUUUGAGGAGAAAUUCUUGCGACCUGUAAAAUGGAAAGGCUACACUUGAAAUUGAUUUUGAUACCUUUCAAGGUCGAUGGUGGCUAUCUCAGUGGAACCGGAUGCUUAGGAAAUGAGUGAAAAUGCAGAAGAUAUUUGUUAGCUUUUUGGUUUGCAAAUGGAGAAAGCCAGAAAUGCAUGGGUUCUUUCUUAAUCAUAACCAUUGAAGUUCUUGUGAUACUGUUCGUCAAGCUGUUGAUCAAGCAAGUUUCAGGCCGCCCAAUUUGCUUUAUUGAAUCCUCGUGGUUGAGGGAGUUUGUAAAUUUGUUCAACUUAGACCUCAAUCCCUCUUGUCAACUGCAGUGGUGGCAGGCAUCAAGCAAUGGUGAACCUCCCUCAUUUUGAAUUCUCCGUGUGCUCAGCUAUCUCACACCUUUUUUAUCGUCUAUCUCGUAGGUGUGACCGUGACGGUAAAUUUUGGUAAAUAUUUUUAUUAUUUUUAAUUUAUUUGUUUUUUGCACCGCUUCAAAUUUAUGAGUAAACACAAUUAUAAAACAAAGAAACCAUUUUUCAAAAAAAUUCAAAAUAAGGUAAGUCUGUACUUGAACGAGGAGAGUAAAAUUAGUCACUAUUCUUAUAAUUGUGAUUACAUCUCUCAAUAUAAAUAAUCUCUUAAAAUUUUCACAUUACCGAAAACAUGCAAGUUUAUAAUCUAUGCCUUGUCUUUAAAUUUUAAGUUCACUGUUGUGAUAACUCUACACACACAAAUGAUACCUUCACCUAUUUAUAAACCUUUAUGCCUUACAAUCAAUGAGUAUGCCUUACAAUCAAUUAGUAUGAUUUAAUCUCUAGAAUAUCCCUACAAAACUGUCAUAAAAAUAUUUAAUACACUACAAAUCUCUGCAAUCUCUGUAAUAUUCUAAAAUGUUAUUACAAUAUAAUAUUUGAGAAUAUUUUAACACUCUACAACCUCUCCAUUUUUUAGAAGAUUAUAAGAAGUCAACUCUAUUACGUAAGCCAACGCAAUUACAGUUUGCACUGUGUUUGAAGGAAAGAAAUAAAUAAAUAUAUAUAUAUAUAUAAAUGAAUUUACUUCUACAACUUUCGUAUUUAAUAAAUAAAUAUACAAAUAAGAAAUAAAGACAAAACAUAAAGUAAGUGUCAUAUUUAAUGAUUAAAUAUUCAAGUAAAAUAUAAAAAAUGUGCUAAGCAUCAUCAUUCAAAUCGAAGUAAAAUCUUAUGAUAUAUACUUCAUCAUCUUUUAAAGUAGAAAUUAAUACUUUAACUCAUGGGUGCAAAAAGUGAAUGUGUGAGUGUUUCUAUAAUUAAAAAAAUAAAUAAAUAAAGAAAUAAAAAUAAAAAAUAAAUAAUCAUUAAGCUCUAUUUGUUUCGACAUAAAAUAUUUUUUUUGAAAAAUAUUUUUUUUUAGUUAAAAUAUAUUUUUUUAUUUUUCCUUCUUCGAUAUUUGAUAAAGGUUUUGGUUGAGGUUAAGGACGAGUCCAUCGAAUUGGGCAUGUAAAAUAAUUUGUCAAAAAUUGAUAUGUAAGUUUUUUUUUUUUU